GGUGUGCUAAGUGCACCUUCCGGUACACUUACCUUGUUACGACUUACCUCAUCUCUAGCUAGUGUAUGUAUUAUUUAUGGGGUGGGUGGAUGGCUUGUGAGGAGGGUGACGGGCGGUAUGUACGUGCCCCAGGGCCGGCUUAAAGAGGGCAUUAUUGUCCUACUUUACUGCUAAAUCCGCCUUCCAGGGAGGGUUUCAUGUCCCUUUUNGUGGNUCUCCUAUNUUAGGAAAAUGUAGCCCAUUUCUUCCUCUCCGUGGGCUAUACCUUGACCUGUCUUAUUAGCGGGGGUUGGGGGCUAUUAAGCUCACUGCUGUGCUUUCAGUAAAGGUGGGCUGGCGACGGCGGUAUGUAGGCUGUUUUGGCAAGGAGAGGUUGGGUGUAUCGUGGGUUAUCGAUUACAGAACAGGCUCCUCUAGGUGGGUUUGGGGCACCGCCAAGUCCUUAGAGUUUUAAGCGUUUGUGCUCGUAGUCCUCGGGCGGAUGUUUUAGUACGGAAAACAUCAAGAUUUAGGGCCGGGCAUAGUGGGGUAUCUAAUCCCAGUUUGUGUCCUGGCUUUCGUGGGAGCUAGUUGGUCGUGUGUACUGGGGUCGUUUUAGUCGGGGGUCUUGUGUACGACUUGGGCUUAUGACAGCUUAGUAGUAUCUUGGCCCCAGUUGGAUGUGAUAGCGUGGUGCCACUCUUUACGCCGCAUACAGUUAGUUUGGGUCUCCUGUGUGACCGCGGUGGCUGGCACAAGAUUUACCAACCCUGGCAUUACUAUGGCUGAGUCAAGCUUUCGCUCAUGGCUCAAUGUCAAUUACUGCUGUAUACCCGUGGGGGUGUGGCUGGGCAAGGCGUCUUAGGCUACGAUUAGGAUGUGUGCCUGAUACCUGCUCCUUGUGUCUUGGCAAGGGGUUGUGGGCAUUUACACUGGGAUGCGGAUGCUUGCAUGUAUAUACCUAGCAAGAACUAACGGUAAGGUUAGGACUAAAUCUUU
rnacentral:rRNA from 1 species